rnacentral:rRNA from 1 species
GCCGUACAAUGGCAAGAGGAAGGUGGCAUCCUUCGGGGUGUGUUAUAGCCUUUUGUCGCAUGCGGUGAAUGGGAUCGAGGAAUGCAGCACGCCCGCAAGGGUUUGGGGAUUCGUNCACAUACGUGCUUCGGAUGCUGGCGUAAUGGCUUUAAACGACCCGUCUUGAAACACGGACCAAGGAGUCUAACAUGCAAGCGAGUGUUAGGGUGUCAAACCCUUGCGCGUAAUGAAAGUGAAAAGUUGGGAAUCUCGUCACUGGGAUGCACCGACGCCCGGUCCUGAAGUUUACGGAUGGAUCUGAGGCAGAGCUUGUAUGCUGGGACCCGAAAGAUGGUGAACUAUGCCUGCAUAGGGCGAAGCCAGAGGAAACUCUGGUGGAGGCUCGUAGC